GACGAACGCUGGCGGCGUGCUUAACACAUGCAAGUCGAACGGAAAGGCCCUGCUUUUGUGGGGUGCUCGAGUGGCGAACGGGUGUGUAACACGUGUGUAACCUGCCCUUGACUUUGGUAUAACUUCUGGAAACUGGGGCUAAUACCGGAUAGGAGCUCCUGCUGCAUGGUGGUGGUUGGAUAUUUUCGGCGGUUGGGGAUGGACUCGCGGCUUAUCAGCUUUUUGUUGGGGUAGUUGCUUACCAUGGCUUUGACGGGUAGCCGGAAUGGGAGGGUGACCGGCGAAAUUGGGAAUGAGAGACGGCCCAGAAUGGAACGGGAGGCAGCAGGGGGGAAUAUAGGAAAAUGGGGGGAAGCGGGAUGAAGCAAGGCAGCGUGCGGGAUGAGGGGCUACGGGUUGUAAACAGAUUUGGAAUGAGACGAAGCGAGAGUGACGGUAAUGGGUAAAGAAGCACCGGCUAACUACGUG
rnacentral:rRNA from 1 species